UUUAAUUCAUUUUAACUCAAAAUUGAGUCAUUCCAGUUGCAAUAAGUUUGUUUUAAUAUUGUCUACCAACUAGUAACACUGUUUAGCCAUGAAAAUUGAAUUAAAAUUGUUCACUUGAAUUAGUCUAUGUCAGGCAUUAAAUAACUUCAAAAAUUCAUAUCUAAACAAUCGUAGCUCCGAAUUUAGUGUUUCUUGUUCCCACGAUCUCAUAGCAACGUAUAGAUUAUUAAUAUAUAUUUUGUUCUGAUGUUUAGUGUGAUGUUAAUUCUGCCUAUACCAUGUUUGUCUAUAUUGCUACGACUAGCGCGAGGUCGCGUGUCAUCUGAAAGGCAAGUUGGUACCUGGAAUCUCAAGUGCCAGGCAAGUUGUGCCCUUGAUCACUUCUUUUACCCACUCAUGUUCUAAUUAAUCAUAAUGAUCUGCAUAGGUUAAUUUUGAUGGGACCUAAUAGGUUACCCUAGUUUGUCUAUUUUUAUGCCUUGUUUACCAUUGAACUUUUUGGGUAGUACUUGCUAGUGCUAUAUGUGGUUUUGGGCAUUGAGAUACACAUUAUUCAUGAUUAUACUUUUGUUAUCCGUUGUUAUUUACUGUUCAUGUCAAGAUCAUUAAUGUCAAUUGGAACAUAGAGCUUAACUUGAGAAACACGUGCCACCACAAGGGUUUAUGGACGCCCUUGGCUGAUUAAUUAGGAAAGCUAGUGGAGGACUACCUUACCCGAAAGGGGCAAGGGCAGUAGGGGAGUGGUCAGUGUAGGGAGGUCCUUGGUUGAUUUUGCUGCGAUGGCGGUCAGGCAAGAACCCUGCAUUGGAGCUUCCUAUAAACUGUAGCGGGUUUUCUGAAGCUAGUGGAACUUUGUAAAGGCCUCGUAGUGUUACCCUGCCUCGCCUCCUCGGUAGAGGUGUAUGGGAAGUCGCGAUCCCUUGGCAGAUGGGUAACAUGACUUGUGGGUAAAGGGUACCAGCUCUGCAGAGUGUAAAACUGGUAUACUAGCCGAGCUCACGGUCAUGAGCAGCUCAGGACUCUCUGAUGAUUAAUUUAUGGAACUAAAUUCAAUUUGUCAUAUGCAUUGCAUCGCAGGUGAUGUUGUUACUUUUGUUCUACUACUUAAUUGGGUUGGUAUUUACUUAUACUUAGUAAUUGCUAAUAAAAUUUUGACCAACCUUAAAAGCAAAGCUCAGCUCUAACCGUCCUCUUUGGUAAGCCUUACACUUCACGUGAGCUCCCACCUUUGGCGAGUUCAUGCACAUUGUUCCCCACAACUUGUUGAGCGAUGAACGUAUGUGAGCUCACUCUUGCUGUCUCACCCCCCCACAGGUCAAUAACAGGUACCACAGGAUGAGGCGCAUGGAGGAUGCUGUGGCGAGUUCGUGAGAGAUCUAGGCCGUCGUCUCCCAGUCAACUUUGGGUUGCUGGACCGUUGUCUCCUUAUAAUGUAAUUAUUUAUUUUGUAUAGAACUCCUGUUAUGUAGUAAAGAUGUGACAUUCGAUCUUGUGCCAUGAUUCAUCAUAUGUGUGAGACUUGGUCCCAGCACACCUGAUGAUUAUGUUCGCA
rnacentral:lncRNA from 1 species